ACAAGCUUUCGGGAGAACCUCCCUUUCUCAAGUCUGAAGCAUUUCUGAAUGCUUCAGACUUGAGAAAGGGAGGUUCUCCCGAAAGCUUG